rnacentral:tRNA from 1 species
UGCGGGCGCCGGGCGGCGGGCCGGACGCCGUCCGGCUUCCGGCCGGGCAUCGGCUUGGGACGCAACGCGGUCUGUUCCAUGGAUCGCCUCCGGC